rnacentral:misc_RNA from 1 species
GAUGAAGAACGCAGCGAAAUGCGAUACGUAGUGUGAAUUGCAGAAUUCCGUGAACCAUCGAAUCUUUGAACGCACAUUGCGCCCCCCGGUAUUCCGGGGGGCAUGCCUGUCCGAGCGUCAUUACAACCCUCAAGCUCAGCUUGGUAUUGGGCCCCGCCGACCCGGCGGGCCCUAAAGUCAGUGGCGGUGCCGUCCGGCUCCGAGCGUAGUAAUUCUUCUCGCUCUGGAGGUCCGGUCGUGUGCUCGCCAGCAACCCCCAAUUUUUUUCAGGUUGACCUCGGAUCAGGUAGGGAUACCCGCUGAACUUAAGCAUAUCAAUAAGCGGAGGA